rnacentral:rRNA from 1 species
AGUGAACGCUGGCGGUAGGCCUAACACAUGCAAGUCGAACGGCAGCACAGGAGAGCUUGCUCUCUGGGUGGCGAGUGGCGGACGGGUGAGGAAUACAUCGGAAUCUACUUUUUCGUGGGGGAUAACGUAGGGAAACUUACGCUAAUACCGCAUACGACCUACGGGUGAAAGCAGGGGACCUUCGGGCCUUGCGCGAUUGAAUGAGCCGAUGUCGGAUUAGCUAGUUGGCGGGGUAAAGACCCACCAAGGCGACGAUCCGUAGCUGGUCUGAGAGGAUGAUCAGCCACACUGGAACUGAGACACGGUCCAGACUCCUACGGGAGGCAGCAGUGGGGAAUAUUGGACAAUGGGCGCAAGCCUGAUCCAGCCAUACCGCGUGGGUGAAGAAGGCCUUCGGGUUGUAAAGCCCUUUGUUGGGAAAGAAAUCCAGCUGGCUAAUACCCGGUUGGGAUGACGGUACCCAAAGAAUAAGCACCGGCUAACUUCGUGCCAGCCGCCGCAGUAA